rnacentral:rRNA from 1 species
GCCAAGGAUGUUUUCAUUGAUCAAGAACGAAAGUUAGGGGAUCGAAGACGAUCAGAUACCGUCCUAGUCUUAACCAUAAACCAUGCCGACUAGAGAUUGGAGGUCGUUAUCUAUACGACUCCUUCAGCACCUUAUGAGAAAUCAAAGUCUUUGGGUUCCGGGGGGAAUAUGGUCGCAAGGCUGAAACUUAAAGGAAUUGAC